GCGCUCUCCAAAGCCAGCAAACCGGUGCACGGAUAACUGGCUGUGGCCCAAUGUUUCAUUUCAUAUCAUAUCAGUUACAAAGAGGCAAAGACAACAGAGAGCAGAACGCCACUCCAUAGUUGAAAGUAGACAGAAGAUUAUCCUGAACACUGGAGGAGAUCAGUUAACACCUACGUCUGCUCAACUGACGGGGCCUGAUCUCUUACGUCAAAAACAUAUCACAUUUGCAGUAGGUGGAUGUGCCCAUUGCUAUACAACAUGAACACCAGGUGGCGCCAUACUGCACAGAGCUGUCCUGGUUGCUGUAAGGAAGGACACUGCAGGUUCCCGCUGGGAAGAAUUUGAUAUGCUGGACAAGCCACAGGAGUUCAAGAAGCAGAAUGUAUCUCUUUAUCCUCUGCCAAAGUCUUUGUACAGUAAACUUUGGAUUGUAUCAAAUGUGGCAUAGUAAAGAGAACUGCAUGUACAGAAGAAUACUGUUUUGUCUUUCCAAAAUAUAGAACCAAAUCUAUAAACCAUGUGUGAGGGUGACAUCUGAAUUCUGCAUUAA